ACUCUGAGACACUUUGCAUAGAGAGGUGUGGUUUAUAUACAGAAUAUAACUAUGAGAAUGAGAAGGAGUCACCUAAACUCUGUUCUGUCAAAGUGAUUCCUCAUCACCAUGAUCAUGUUCUGGACGGUCUUCAGUUUCAUCACUUAUUUUUCCUAUUCUGCGGCUCAGUUUACUGUCAUCCAGGAACCCACAAUAACCGUGUCUCUUGGUGGUAAUGCCAUUGUGUCCUGUGGUCGUAGUGAUGGCUCUGUAGUUGGUAGUAACUACCCACACUGGGUAUAUCAGGCACCUGGGAGUGUUCCUAAAGGAUUAAUAGGUAGCAAUGGAGCCAGUAACCAUAAUAUAAAACCUCCAGGAACCUCUGAACGUUUUACUGGAUCCAUCCAGGGAACCUCAAGUGUUUUGUCUAUCAGUAAUGUACAGGCUGCAGAUGACGGGAAUUAUCACUGUGUGCUAUGGACUGGUAGUGCGUACACAGUGCUACAAAUUCACACACAGUGAGACAUUAAUAUCAAC